rnacentral:misc_RNA from 1 species
CAAAGAUUACGUGUGCGCAGUGUGAGCG